AAGAAGAUGCUUUUGAAAGGAAAUCUCAGUUUGGUCAUCACAGUAUUAAUCUCAAAGAAAAGGCAGUAUUAUUGAUCAUAGCGUUGAGAAAUGGAAGAGACCUCAGAUAUGACAAGGAUAUAGAUCACUGAUCUGGAGCUGGAAGAGAUUGAUAGGCCAUCUGGUCCAACCCAUUCAUUUAACAGAUAAGACCUAGCUGCUAUAUGGAACUCCUCAUGAGGAAAUUCUGCCUAGCCCUGAAGAUUGGCAUUCAUCCUAUGAAUUAUGGUUCUGGAGAGCUGCUAGGAGACACUGAUGAAUUAAAUGACUUGUCCAAAGUCACACAGUCAGUAUAUGUCACAGGCAGAAUCACACAUUGAAGGUUAGAAAGGAUCUUAAAGGCCAUCUGGUCCAGCCCCUUUGUGUUUUAUGUAUGAAGAACUCAGUUCCUAAGAGGUUAACUGAUUAUCCAAGGUUAUAUAAGUAAUAAGUGACAGGAUCAAGAUUUCAGUCCAGGUUUUCUUACCUCUAAGGCUAGCUAUCUAACCAUUAGGCAACAUUGCUUCUUAUGUAUGUGUUUGUGUAUUGUGUGUGUGUGUAUUGGUACACACAGUUAGACACAUAUAAUAUCAAUAUUGACCAUAUCAUAGUCAAUGGUGAGGUCACAGAUACAGCUAUAAGCUAGACCUAGUCUGAUGUUCCAGGCAUGCUGUUUUCUGGGUAGCACACUGAGCAGUUCUGACUACCCUCCCUGCUGAAUGCAUGAGCCCUUUGCUUCAGACCCUGUCCUGGCCCUGUGACAACAUGGCCUGCCAGCUGCUUCCCUACCGACAGCAGCCACUUGCGAAAUUCUGCUUCAGUGACAUUUCCCAGUGCUGGAUGUGUGAGCGAUCUUUUGGCCUAUGUACCCUUUAAGGGAAGAAAACAACUUCAUAGUCACAUUUCAUCAUAGAUUAAGGAUGAAAUCACUCAGCUGAAUCAACAAACUUAUUCACCAAACUGGGCAUUCUGAAUGAUGUUUUGGCUACUAUCAAAAAUCCGACCCAUCUUCAAAGAACAAAUGCUUGUCAUCAGUGAAGAGAGUUAGAGAAAUGUGUGAUGGACUCAGAGGAAAAUUGCAAUAAAAAGAACCA